AUUGAACGCUGGCGGCAGGCCUAACACAUGCAAGUCGAGCGGAUGAAGGGAGCUUGCUCCUGGAUUCAGCGGCGGACGGGUGAGUAAUGCCUAGGAAUCUGCCUGGUAGUGGGGGAUAACGUCCGGAAACGGGCGCUAAUACCGCAUACGUCCUGAGGGAGAAAGUGGGGGAUCUUCGGACCUCACGCUAUCAGAUGAGCCUAGGUCGGAUUAGCUAGUUGGUGGGGUAAAGGCCUACCAAGGCGACGAUCCGUAACUGGUCUGAGAGGAUGAUCAGUCACACUGGAACUGAGACACGGUCCAGACGCCUACGGGAGGCAGCAGUGGGGAAUAUUGGACAAUGGGCGAAAGCCUGAUCCAGCCAUGCCGCGUGUGUGAAGAAAGUCUUCGGAUUGUAAAGCACUUUAAGUUGGGGGGAAGGGCAGUAAGUUAAUACCUUGCUGUUUUGACGUUACCAACAGAAUAAGCACCGGCUAACUUCGUG
rnacentral:rRNA from 1 species